UACAGAGGUCCCAAGCGUUGUUCGGAUUCACUGGGCGUAAAGGGUGCGCAGGCGGCCAGGUGUGUUAGGCGUGAAAGCCCGGGGCUUAACCCCGGAAUUGCACCUAAAACUACUUGGCUAGAGCAUUGGAGAGGGUAGCGGAAUUCACGGUGUAGCAGUGAAAUGCGUAGAUAUCGUGAGGAACACCAGAGGCGAAGGCGGCUACCUGGACAAUUGCUGACGCUGAGGAGCGAAAGCAUGGGGAGCGAACAGG
rnacentral:rRNA from 1 species